UCGAUUCGAUCGAUUGAAUCGCAUCUCGGCAUCUGCGUCUGGUCCUGGUUGCCUCGGGGGCUCGUCCGCCUCCGCCUGCUGCUUUCUCUGUCUCUCGAAGACUCGCACGGACGCCCGGCCGGCCAGCCGCCGGCUGCUGCAAUCAGGUGGCCCUUUAAUCCUUGAUUCCGUGAUUUCCGUCUUGAUUUUCUUUGUACGGUUGAUUUUCUUGCUUUUUUGGCGUAAACGUAUUUAUCUUUUCAGUUUCAUCAUAUUUCUAGUCGUAUUGAUCUAUUGAAGCAUUAUUGUCUAUGAAUUAGAAUUUGGAUCUAUUUAAGGUAAUCAAACUAGCAGGGAAUAUUGUUUCUCAUACUUAAUAUUUUGCUACUUUAUUAGUCUUCCUUUCAUGAUAUGACAUAGUCUGCGUGAUUAUCAAUAUUUUAUAUGUUAUACGUCUCAGAAUAAUAAAAUAUGAUCGGAUAUGUGUACAUAUAUAUUACCUAUAAGGGCCCUUUUUCAACUUGGCCAAGGGCCCCGAAAAACAUAGAGCCGGCCCUGUGUAUCAUGUUAGCACGCUGGAGAAGGCGAGAAACUGAGGCUUCGGUCAUUCACCUGUGGGAACCUUCGUUUGUCUUGACGAAGGAUAUGAAUUCUACAAUGUUUAUUCCUUGGAAUAUGGUUUUGGAGUUAGGUGUGGAGCGAGCAGUAUGGAUUCUCAUGGAACUAAAUGCAUAUAGCAAUUCGUUUGCGCGUGUGAGGUAUGCAAUUAUCCUCCCCUUGUAAUUAGUAGUUAGUACUUUUGCUCUUUGUGUUAUUUAUCAUCUUGGCGGUCUCAUAGUAAUAUCGACAAGAACACGAGGGACUUGAUUUGCCGACUAAGGGAAAACAAUGUGCCCACACAUUGCUGAUAUUGGAGCAAAGAAUUUGUGGUAUGAGGAUCUCAGUAAGACCUUGAAAACCUUGCUAGGAUCUCAGUAAGACCUUGAAAACCUUGCUAGGACCUUGAAGCUUCAUUAUGAGUUAGUAAAAACGCCCUUUAUCCAAAAAAAGGAUCAAAGCAGAGGAUCCAACAUUCCAGUAUACUUUUCAGGUUGGUAGUAACUGUAGAGUGAGGCCACUACUCUGGACCAGUGGCCAGAACCUCCAGUACAAACACUUUGACGAUGUGAUUAUCUUCGACCCCAUCUACAGAUCGAACAUGUAUGAAAAACCGUUCGGCCUAUUUGUUGGGGUCAACAACAACUUCAAGACCAUCGGCAGGGUGAUGAUGAGAGAUGGAAAAAUAGACCGGACAUGUGUGCUGUUCUGAAAAAGGAGCUUCUGUGUUGGUGGUAGCCGUGAUGGUAGUUUUACACAGAGUUGUAGCACGGGAAAGUGUGCCUCAUAAUUCGGAACGAGAUCCUCUCACGUAGAACAAAACUACUGCAGAGGGACGUCCAACACGGAUCACCGUCCGUGCAGCAUCCAAUGGCAACGGCUAAACACUGGCAAAACAUAGCGAAGCCAUCGGCCCAUGAGGACGAUGCGGCCCAGUCCAAUGAGAUGGUGCGAGGACGACAAAAACGCAUGAGGUCGACGGAACGCGAUAGUUUAAGUGAACACGGUGUCUUGCUCAUCGAUUUGUACGUAAAUUGUGAAUCUCUCCCUUUCUUUUCCCAUCUUGAAAUUCGCUUUAAUAAUAAGAGUGGAAUUAGUCGA